rnacentral:other from 1 species
CACAAAAGGAGGGAGGGAGAGAGCGAGAGCCAGAACUUCCUCCACCUUCGGGAGCACCAGGCGGAGUGGGGGGCUUGCAGGGGAGACUGACGAGCCGGGUGAGAGGGGGCGCCCACUGCCCCCACCCCCCCCCCACACACACACAUUAGGCUUCGCUUGCCAACUCUCUCCUGGUGUGUCUGUCGGUUGCAGUGUCGGAGAUUGGCGCGGGCCCCCGCCCUCCGCGCCCCCCACGGGAAGGAAGCACCCCCCUAACUAAAAGGAGCGGAGCGGAAAGAAGCCCUCAUUCGCCGGCCAGGAGGCGAGCCGAUGCCGAGCUGCACCGCGUCCACCAUG